CAAUGUAUGCCUCAGUACGGCGAGUGAGCGGCAAAAGCUCAAAUUUGAAAUCUAGCACCUUCGGUGUUCGAGUUGUAAUUUGAAGAUGGUAACCUUGGGUUUGGCUCUUGUCUAUGUUCCUUGGAACAGGACGUCAUAGAGGGUGAGAAUCCCGUCUGAUGAGAUGCCCAUUCCUAUGUAAGGUGCUAUCGAAGAGUCGAGUUGUUUGGGAAUGCAGCUCUAAGUGGGUGGUAAAUUCCAUCUAAAGCUAAAUAUUGGCGAGAGACCGAUAGCGAACAAGUACAGUGAUGGAAAGAUGAAAAGAACUUUGAAAAGAGAGUGAAAAAGUACGUGAAAUUGUUGAAAGGGAAGGGCAUUAGAUCAGACUUGGUGUUUUACGAUUAUCUUCUCUUCUUGAGUUGUGCACUCGUAUUUCACUGGGCCAGCAUCGAUUCGGAUGGCAAGAUAAUGGCAGUUGAAUGUGGCUUCACUUCGGUGGAGUGUUAUAGCUUCUGCUGAUAUUGCCUGUCUGGAUCGAGGGCUGCGUCUUUUGACUAGGAUGCUGGCGUAAUGAUCUAAUGCCGCCCGUCUUGA
rnacentral:rRNA from 1 species